CCUACGGGCGGCAGCAGUGAGGAAUAUUGGUCAAUGGGCGCGAGCCUGAACCAGCCAAGUCGCGUGAGGGAAGACGGUCCUAUGGAUUGUAAACCUCUUUUGUCGGGGAGCAAAAGACGCCACGUGUGGCGUUCCGAGAGUACCCGAAGAAAAAGCAUCGGCUAACUCCGUGCCAGCAGCCGCGGUAAUACGGAGGAUGCGAGCGUUAUCCGGAUUUAUUGGGUUUAAAGGGUGCGCAGGCGGAAGAUCAAGUCAGCGGUAAAAUUGAGAGGCUCAACCUCUUCGAGCCGUUGAAACUGGUUUUCUUGAGUACAGUUGAGGUAGGCGGAAUUCGUGGUGUAGCGGUGAAAUGCUUAGAUAUCACGAAGAACCCCGAUUGCGAAGGCAGCUUACUAAACUGUGACUGACAUUGAUGCUCGAAAGUGUGGGUAUCAAACAGGAUUAGAUACCCCGGUAGUC
rnacentral:rRNA from 1 species